CUCCUUCCAACUGCCGUGUGGAGAAUGGACUGUAGUGGGAUGAGGGCAGAAGCCAGGAGACCAGGAAGAAAUGGGGCUCCUUGAGAGGGCUGUUGGGAAGACGAAAUGAAAGCUGCCUAGGCCUGCCCAGCAGCGAGCCAGAGACAAGAUCCGAACCAGACCUUCUGGGUUCCACAUCCACGCUCUGCCCGCUGUCUCACCACACUUACAGGUGCCAAGCGCUCCAUCGUCUGCAGCCUCCUCUUACUGACCAGCUCUCAUCCACUCCUCUCAACCCCGGGCAGCUGACGACACGAGCACUCGGAGCCCAGGCCCCAGUGGCUCUUACCCCUUCGUUACAGUUAUUGAAGGUAAUACACGGUGCGGUACAGCCCAGCCCCCCAACCCAGCCCGGUCCAACAGGCUAGGAAUCUCAAGGCCUCUAACUGGUCUGGGGCGGGAUGAGCAGGGGCCCUCGGCGGGGGAGACUAUUUAGGUGGAAAGUGGUGGAAAGGCCCCUCUUGCUCUCCCACCACAUUCUCUCCUCUCCCGCCAGGUCACCCUGCCCUCCUCAUACUCCGGUUCCUUCCCCAUCAUCCUUUCUUCCCUGAUAUUCCCUACCCCUCCCUCCCCCCCAAUCCCUCCCUCCCUGCACACACACCCUGCCCUUUCCCCUACGUCUCCCGUCCCGUCCC
rnacentral:lncRNA from 1 species